rnacentral:rRNA from 1 species
UACGAAGGGGGCUAGCGUUGCUCGGAUUUACUGGGCGUAAAGGGCGCGUAGGCGGGCAGUUAAGUUGGGGGUGAAAGCCCGGGGCUCAACCUCGGAAUUGCCUUCAAUACUGGCUGUCUUGAGUGUGAGAGAGGUGUGUGGAACUCCGAGUGUAGAGGUGAAAUUCGUAGAUAUUCGGAAGAACACCAGUGGCGAAGGCGACACACUGGCUCACUACUGACGCUGAGGCGCGAAAGCGUGGGGAGCAAACAGG